CUUAAAUUGGUUCAUGUUGGAGUAAGUUUGAAAAGUGUUAUAUAUAUAUUUAUGUGUUUGUUAUGUCGGGGUCAUUGCCUUUUAUAUUAAAAGAAGGAUAUGGAUGCAAGAGCGGAGUAUGGGGGCAAUGACCCAUGUUUAUAUGUUAAAUUAUUAUUAUCGUUGUGAUGGAACGCUGGCACUCCAACUGAGUACCUCCGCCAAUCGAUGCUCCUAAUGCUCGCUGAGGACUCCAAGCACUCCAACCGACACCAUCAGCACUGCAGACCCCACUUCCAGCGAUGCAACUGCGCCGGGGUCUCUGCUGUCUCCACCCACCUUGGACCCAAGGCCAGGAUCCAGCUUCCAGUGGGUGAACCUCUCUUUCCCCAGAGAGCAAGAACAGGAACAAGCUCUUAGCAGAACUUAGUGAUCAUACUCUGGGGAGUAUAGUGAUUAUAGCAAUCCCCAGAGUGUAUUUUCAAUCCCCCAAACAUGAGCCAAGACUUAAUGCUGG